rnacentral:rRNA from 1 species
UACGGAAGGCAGCAGUGGGGAAUAUUACACAAUGGGCGCAAGCCUGAUGCAGCCAUGCCGCGUGUAUGAAGAAGGCCUUCGGGUUGUAAAGUACUUUUCAGUCGUGAGGAAGGUGUUAAGGUUAAUAACCUUAGCAAUUGACGUUAGCGACAGAAGAAGCACCGGCUAACUCCGUGCCAGCAGCCGCGGUAAUACGGAGGGUGCGAGCGUUAAUCGGAAUUACUGGGCGUAAAGGGCACGCAGGCGGUUAAUUAAGUUGGAUGUGAAAUCCCCGGGCUUAACCUGGGAAUGGCAUUCAAGACUGGUUAGCUAGAGUCUUGUAGAGGGGGUAGAAUUCCAUGUGUAGCGGUGAAAUGCGUAGAGAUGUGGAGGAAUACCGGUGGCGAAGGCGGCCCCUGGGACAAAGGACUGACGCUCAUGUGCGAAAGCGUGGGGAGCAAAC